CAUCUCCGUCUCUCCCAAUCCUUGUACCAGUGUCUGAUUUACAGAUGACGCUGGACGGGGUUUGGGGGGGGCUGAGGGA
ncrna:Danio rerio (zebrafish) microRNA dre-mir-150 precursor